GGUCGAUUCAAAAGUAGUUGGCUAUAGUAUUAUUAGUGAGAGCUCCUCCGUAAGUUGGUGUUUUCGUCGUAUUUAUGAGUAUUUACGGUUAACCAUCGAGCUAGGAGGAAGUAAAAAUGGAAGCUACUGACAACUUUCUCUGUCUUUAUCAGAAUGUACAAGAAAAAUGUUUAGAAGCACUUAACAAGUUUGAGGAACAUUUCUUGUGGUUAGAAGAGGUAACCGCUAAUGCCCGUCAGUUGUUUUCCUCCACUGAUCCAACUCUCUUGCCCAAGACCCCUCUGGGCAAAAAGAAAUCUCGACUAAAGAAACCUCGUCACUCAUCAA